CCUACGGGUGGCAGUAGUGGGGAAUAUUGGGCAAUGGGCGCAAGCCUGACCCAGCAACGCCGCGUGAAGGACGAAGGCUUUCGGGUUGGACACUUCUUUUCUCAGGGACGAAGCAAGUGACGGUAACUGAGGAAUAAGCCACGGCUGACUACGUGCCAGCAGCCGCGGUCAUACGUAGGUGGCAAGCGUUAUCCGGAUUUACUGGGUGUAAAGGGCGGGUAGGCGGGACAGCAAGUCAAGUGUGAAAACCAUGGGCUCAACAUGUGGCCGGCAUUUUAAACUGUGUUUCUUGAGUACUGGAGAGGCAGACGGAAUUCCUAGUGUAGCGGUGAAAUGCGUAGAUAUUAGGAGGAACACCAGUGGCGAAGGCAGUCUGCUGGACAGCAACUGACGCUGAGGCGCGAAAGCGUGGGGAGCAAACAGGAUUAGAUACCCCUGUAGUC
rnacentral:rRNA from 1 species